UGUGAAGGGAUGGGAAUCGAACCCACGACCUUCCGCUUACCGGGCAGAUGCCAUGACCACUAGGCUACCCUGGAC
rnacentral:tRNA from 1 species